rnacentral:rRNA from 1 species
CAAACUUUGGGAUAAGCCUGGGAAACUGGGUCUAAUACCGAAUAUGACCGAUACUCGCAUGGGUGUUGGUGGAAAGCUCCGGCGGUUUGGGAUGGGCCCGCGGCCUAUCAGCUUGUUGGUGGGGUAAUGGCCUACCAAGGCGACGACGGGUAGCCGGCCUGAGAGGGCGACCGGCCACACUGGGACUGAGACACGGCCCAGACUCCUACGGGAGGCAGCAGUGGGGAAUAUUGCACAAUGGGCGCAAGCCUGAUGCAGCGACGCCGCGUGAGGGAUGACGGCCUUCGGGUUGUAAACCUCUUUCACCAGGGACGAAGCGAAAGUGACGGUACCUGGAGAAGAAGCACCGGCCAACUACGUGCCAGCAGCCGCGGUAAUACGUAGGGUGCGAGCGUUGUCCGGAAUUACUGGGCGUAAAGAGCUCGUAGGCGGUUUGUCGCGUCGUUCGUGAAAACUUGGGGCUUAACUCCAAGCGUGCGGGCGAUACGGGCAGACUUGAGUACUACAGGGGAGACUGGAAUUCCUGGUGUAGCGGUGAAAUGCGCAGAUAUCAGGAGGAACACCGGUGGCGAAGGCGGGUCUCUGGGUAGUAACUGACGCUGAGGAGCGAAAGCGUGGGUAGCGAACAGGAUUAGAUACCCUGGUAGUCCACGCCGUAAAC